CUCUUCAAUGGCUAAAAAGUCUUGGAAAAAUUCCAAAAGCGCUGUUGAAACUCCUCAGCCAGAGAUGAGAUGUCUGCUGCAUACCUCCUCAUUUACACACUGAUAUUGUUCUGUGGAAAAGCGGUCAUUACUUCCUGCAGCGAUGGGACAUGUGUGGUACUGGCCUGUAUGUGACAGGUGCCUUCUGAAAAGUUGCAGCUUGGUCCCAAAGGUUUUGAUGUGUGAAUACAGUUGGCUCACCACUGAAGGCUCA